rnacentral:rRNA from 1 species
UACAGAGGGGGCAAGCGUUGUUCGGAAUUACUGGGCGUAAAGGGCGCGUAGGCGGCCGCCUAAGUCAGACGUGAAAUCCCUCGGCUCAACCGAGGAAGUGCGCCCGAAACUGCAGAGCUUGAGUACCGGAGAGGAUGGCGGAAUUCCCCAAGUAGAGGUGAAAUUCGUAGAUAUGGGGAGGAACACCGGUGGCGAAGGCGGGCCAUCUGGACGGAUACUGACGCUGAGACGCGAAAGCGUGGGGAGCAAACAGG